AACGAACGCUGGCGGCAUGCCUAACACAUGCAAGUCGAACGAGACCUUCGGGUCUAGUGGCGCACGGGUGCGUAACGCGUGGGAACCUGCCCUUAGGUUCGGAAUAACUCCCCGAAAGGGGUGCUAAUACCGGAUAAUGUCUUCGGACCAAAGAUUUAUCGCCUUUGGAUGGGCCCGCGUUGCAUUAGCUAGUUGGUAGGGUAAAGGCCUACCAAGGCGACGAUCCAUAGCUGGUCUGAGAGGGUGAUCAGCCACACUGGGACUGAGACACGGCCCAGACGCCGACGGGAGGGAGCAGUCGGGAAUCGUCGGGAAGGGGCGGAGGCCGGACGGAGCAACGCCGCGGGAGUGAUGAAGGUCUUCGGCUCGUAAAACUAUGUGAGUAGGGAAGAACAUAUGUGUAAGUAACUGUGCACAUCAUGACGGUACCUAAUCAGAAAGCCACGGCUAACUACGUG
rnacentral:rRNA from 1 species